rnacentral:rRNA from 1 species
CUACCCCGGGGAUAACAGGCUUAUCUCCCCCAAGAGUUCACAUCGACGGGGAGGUUUGGCACCUCGAUGUCGGCUCAUCGCAUCCUGGGGCUGUAGUCGGUCCCAAGGGUUGGGCUGUUCGCCCAUUAAAGCGGUACGCGAGCUGGGUUCAGAACGUCGUGAGACAGUUCGGUCCCUAUCCGUCGUGGGCGUAGGAAAUUUGAGAGGAGCUGUCCUUAGUACGAGAGGACCGGGAUGGACAUACCUCUGGUGUACCAGUUGUCGUGCCAACGGCAUAGCUGGGUAGCUAUGUGUGGACGGGAUAAGUGCUGAAAGCAUCUAAGCAUGAAGCCCCCCUCAAGAUGAGAUUUCCCAACUUCGGUUAUAAGAUCCCUCAAAGAUGAUGAGGUUAAUAGGUUCGAGGUGGAAGCAUGGUGACAUGUGGAGCUGACGAAUACUAA